GGAUUAGAUACCCUGGUAGUCCACGCCGUAAACGAUGAGAACUAGGUGCAGCGGAUAUUGACCUCUGCUGUGCUGUAGCUAACGCGUUAAGUUCUCCGCCUGGGGAGUACGGCCGCAAGGCUAAAACUCAAAGGAAUUGACGGGGGCCCGCACAAGCAGUGGAGCAUGUGGUUUAAUUCGAAGCAACGCGCAGAACCUUACCAGGGCUAGAAAAACUGAGAAUCCUGACGAAACUCGGGAGUGCUCGCAAGAGAACUCAGGUCCAGGUGCUGCAUGGCUGUCGUCAGCUCGUGCCG
rnacentral:rRNA from 1 species